CCUCACAAAUCUAUCCAUGCUGAGGUGCUGUAUAUAUAUCUGCCCUAGCUUGGUCAUCCCAGCACUCCCUACAUCCAGAGAGGAUCUACAGAAAAAAUGAAGAGAAAGCCCAACAGAAUCUGCAGAAAAUGGGACAGUAAAAUGAGGUGUGCCCUCAUCUACCCUGCCCUCCGUUGCCCGCUCUCACCACUUAACCACUCGUUCCACAACUGACUGAGCAUUCUUGAUUCAACUUUGUAGGGAGAGCAUUUCAGAACUGGCCAACACCUCCCCUCCCAUCCUCACACAAAUCUUGGAUGCUGAAUGUAUUUGUGAGGAGGACUUCAGCUUCUGAAUGAGAUAUUAUAAAGCCUAUGUCACAGGUCUGAGUGCCAAGCUCACCCAAAAGAAGCAAAACUGACUUUUCCAAAUGGCUUCAGAAAGAAAAAUGGGAUAAAGGCUGUGAAGCAUCCUGCCACCACAGGAUUCUCCUAUACUGGGCAUGGAGAUCACCAUGUGCCAAUGAACUGACCUGGCAACUGAACCGUGACAUGGAUGUUGCCUCAUACUCUUCCUGGAGGACAAGCCAAUAGCAAUGGUUGGAAAGAAAAAUGUUUUGCUAUCAGCAAAUGGCAAUUCAUUGAAAGCAAAACAGGAAAACGUUGAUGAGAUUUUGGGUUUUUUUGGAGGGAAAAUCAGGAAUGAGCGUUUCGAUUUUCCAUUUUGAGACAACUUUUUGUGUAAACUUGUGGCUUUUGUAAAAUUAAAAAUU